rnacentral:sRNA from 1 species
UUUGCAAAUUGCAAAGCUGCAUACAAUAAACGAUGUUUUGUGCAAAGCACAAAACUCGAAGAUAAACAGUGAGGCUGAAUUUCUGCCGAACUGCUUAUCGAAU